rnacentral:rRNA from 1 species
GGUGAACGCUAGCGGCAGGCUUAACACAUGCAAGUCGAGGGGCAGCAUAAUGGAUAGCAAUAUCUAUGGUGGCGACCGGCGCACGGGUGCGUAACGCGUAUGCAACCUACCUUUAACAGGGGGAUAACACUGAGAAAUUGGUACUAAUACCCCAUAAUAUCAUAGAAGGCAUCUUUUAUGGUUGAAAAUUACGAUGGUUAGAGAUGGGCAUGCGUUGUAUUAGCUAGUUGGUGGGGUAACGGCUCACCAAGGCGACGAUACAUAGGGGGACUGAGAGGUUAACCCCCCACACUGGUACUGCGACACGGACCAGACUCCUACGGGAGGCAGCAGUGAGGAAUAUUGGUCAAUGGACGCAAGUCUGAACCAGCCAUGCCGCGUGCAGGAUGACGGCUCUAUGAGUUGUAAACUGCUUUUGUACGAGGGUAAACGCAGAUACGUGUAUCUGUCUGAAAGUAUCGUACGAAUAAGGAUCGGCUAACUCCGUG